UACGUAGGUGGCAAGCGUUGUCCGGAUUUACUGGGCGUAAAGCGUAUGCAGGCGGAUGCUUAAGUAGGAAGUGAAAGGUUGGAGCUCAACUCUAACACUGCUCCCUAUACUGGGUGUCUUGAGUGCCGGAGAGGAAGAUGGAACUGCACGUGUAGCGGUGAAAUGCGUUGAGAUGUGCAGGAACACCAAUGGCGAAAGCAGUCUUCUGGACGGAUACUGACGCUGAGAUACGAAAGCCAAGGUAGCAAACAGG
rnacentral:rRNA from 1 species